rnacentral:snRNA from 1 species
GUGACGCUUCGGCAGCACAUAUACAAAAAUUGGAAUGAUACAAGAUUAGCAUGCCCCCUGCUUAAGGCUGACACACAAAUUCAGUGAAGCAUUCUUUUUUUUU